CCUACGGGUGGCUGCAGUGGGGAAUAUUGGGCAAUGGGCGCAAGCCUGACCCAGCAACGCCGCGUGAAGGAAGAAGGCUUUCGGGUUGUAAACUUCUUUUGUCAGGGAAGAGUAGAAGACGGUACCUGACGAAUAAGCCACGGCUAACUACGUGCCAGCAGCCGCGGUAAUACGUAGGUGGCAAGCGUUGUCCGGAUUUACUGGGUGUAAAGGGCGUGUAGCCGGGUUGACAAGUCAGAUGUGAAAUCCUGUGGCUUAACCGCAGAACUGCAUUUGAAACUGUUGAUCUUGAGUACUGGAGAGGCAGAUGGAAUGCCUAGUGUAGCGGUGAAAUGCGUAGAUAUUAGGAGGAACACCAGUGGCGAAGGCGGCCUGCUGGACAGCAACUGACGGUGAGGCGCGAAAGCGUGGGGAGCAAACAGGAUUAGAUACCCCAGUAGUC
rnacentral:rRNA from 1 species